GACGAACCGUCCUAACGUUAUUCGGAAUCACUGGGCUUAAAGGGCGCGUAGGCGGACGAGCAAGUCCGGAGUGAAAUCCUUCGGCUUAACCGGAGAAGUGCUUUGGAUACUGCUCGUCUUGAGGGAGGUAGGGGCAUGUGGAACUUCUGGUGGAGCGGUGAAAUGCGUUGAUAUCAGAAGGAACGCCGGUGGCGAAAGCGACGUGCUGGCCCUCUUCUGACGCUGAGGCGCGAAAGCUAGGGGAGCAAACGGG
rnacentral:rRNA from 1 species